rnacentral:rRNA from 1 species
ACCAUAGCUCCCAUUUGGACUGUACUGGGCAUCGCCGACGGCGUAGCCUCAAAGACAUUGGUCUAAUCAAGCGGACGAGUUCCUUUAGGACGGACCGUUGGGUUGACCUUAAACCUCUGACUUGACCUCAGAUCAGGUAGGGCUACCGCCUGAACUUAAGCAUAUCAAUAAGGCGAGGAACAGAAACCAAACAGGGAUUCCCCUAGUAGUGGCGAAUGAAGCGGGAAAAGCUCAAGUUUGAAAUCUGGGGCUUGCUCCAGAGUUGUAAGCUGAAGAGGCGUCGACCGACGCGGCCCGGGCUCAAUUUCCUUGGAAACAGGAGGUCAUGGAGGGUGAGAACCCCGUCUGUGGCUUGGGUACCGUCGUCCUUGUGUCGUGUCCUCGAAGAGUCGGGUUGUUUGGGAAUGCAGCUCAAAAUGGGUGGUAAAUUUCAUCUAAGGCUAAAUAUUGGUGAGAGACCGAUAGCAAACAAGUAGAGUGAUCGAAAGAUGAAAAGUACCUUGAAAAGAGAGUGAAACAGUACGUGAAAUUGUUGAAAGGGAAGCGUUUGGCAUCAGCCCAUGGCCUCCGUCGAUCAUCUGGGCUUCUGUCCGGUGCACUUGUCGGGGGUCGGGCCAGCGUCGGCUUUGCCCGCCGGAGAAAGGCCUUGGGAAUGUGGCUCCCUUGGGAGUGUUAUAGCCCUCGGUGUCAUGCGGCGUGGUGGGGCACGAGGUCUGCGGUUUAUCCUAGGACGCUGGCGUAAUGUUC